rnacentral:rRNA from 1 species
UACGGAGGGGGUUAGCGUUGUUCGGAAUUACUGGGCGUAAAGCGCACGUAGGCGGAUCAGAAAGUGUGGGGUGAAAUCCCGGGGCUCAACCCCGGAACUGCCCUGCAAACUCCUGGUCUUGAGUUCGAGAGAGGUGAGUGGAAUUCCGAGUGUAGAGGUGAAAUUCGUAGAUAUUCGGAGGAACACCAGUGGCGAAGGCGGCUCACUGGCUCGAUACUGACGCUGAGGUGCGAAAGUGUGGGGAGCAAACAGG